UGGGGAAUAUUGGACAAUGGGCGCAAGCCUGAUCCAGCCAUGCCGCGUGUGUGAAGAAGGCCUUCGGGUUGUAAAGCACUUUCAGUGGGGAGAAAGGCCUUUUACCUAAUACGUAAGAGGAUUGAUGUUACCCACAGAAGAAGCACCGGCUAACUCCGUGCCAGCAGCCGCGGUAAUACGGAGGGUGCAAGCGUUAAUCGGAAUUACUGGGCGUAAAGCGCACGUAGGUGGUUUGUUAAGCUAGCUGUGAAAUCCCCGGGCUCAACCUGGGCACUGCAGUUAGAACUGGCAAGCUAGAGUAGGGUAGAGGGGUGUGGAAUUCCAGGUGUAACGGUGAAAUGCGUAGAUAUCUGGAGGAACAUCAGUGGCGAAGGCGACACCCUGGACUCAUACUGACACUGAGGUGCGAAAGCGUGGGGAGCAAACAGG
rnacentral:rRNA from 1 species